AUCUAGCUGAUGAGUCCCAAAUAGGAUGAAACGCUCGUCCUGUAU
rnacentral:hammerhead_ribozyme from 1 species